CAUAAAAAUGCAAGAAAUGACGGAGCGUCUUGCUCGACCAAAGUCACCUGGUUGUCAAAUUAAUACAAUCAUUGAUAUACAUAAGAUAAAAAAAUUGUAAUGCAUGACCAGUCAAACCAGCUCACACUCAUCAAUUAAGUUAAGGCCACAAAUCAGAAUCCAACACAUGGCAUAAUUUAAUUGGUUAAUUCAAAUUUAAAUUGGAAAAGAGGGAUUAAGGCAUUGCAGCAACAGAAGAAACCAUGUUCUUCGUCAUCUUCUUCCUUCCAAUAAAAAAACAUGAAAAAUGCAUCUCUGAACUUCAAAAUGAAAAUGAGUAGUCAUUGUGCUCAGCUCUGAUCAUAGAUGCUAAAGUUGAGCUCAAAAUUCAGCAAUUUAAAUGGAGUGCAGAGAAAUUGGGCUUCAAAGUGAAGAACCCUAGAAUUUAAGAUCCAAAUGAAGCAUCUAUGGCGGAUAAAAAAAUGCAAUUAAACAUGAGGAAACAUUCAUUAGAUCCAGACGCUGAACAUGGUAUCAAGCUUGACUAAAAACGAAGGCUUGAACUACAUGUAAGGAAGCAAACUAAAAGGUACAAAAAUGCGGAUUCACAAGCUCAAACAGGUAAGUGCUUCACUCUAUUUUUCAUUUUAUCAGCUUCAUAGUAUGUGUGGGAUUGAUUAUGGGUAGUACAAGUAGUUGGAGAUGGUGUGUAUUGAUGAAUCUGAUAGCCUGCUUUGGUGUUGUUGUAGUGUAAAUUUGGAAGAACUUUCGUUGCUUUUCAAGCUUGCCUUCUUGAGUGAACUAUGAUGCUGUUAUAUAGGCUGAGUGAAGAGAGUUGGCACGUGUUAAUUUUUGUGCCAAAAUCGUGUGAACUUGUGAGAAUCAUGACUGAUUUGUGUGUAGGAUUCAUGAGCUGGAAAUGUGCAAUAAUGGUUCUCUUGUAAUGUAGAUUCUUUCCUGAAUUCAUGAGAUUGCUAGAAAAUGAUAAGCUUAUUCAUGUAAUAGAUGCCAACUCACAUCUGCAUUCAAUCAAUGGUGGAUGAAGAUGUUUAGUGAAGCUGGGAACCGAUUUGAAGUUGAUGUUAGCUCCAUGAUGAAAUGCUUCAUUUUGGACCCUUGAUGCCUAUGAUUUUUGGAAACCGAAUUGGAUUAUAUGUGACUUGUUUCCUUCAUGUUUGCAUGUGUUCUCUCUUUAUGUUCCUGGCUUGUAUUAGAAUGAAACUUGUAAAUUCACUUUGUGUAAUGCUUGUAUGAACAUGAACCAUGGUGAUGCUACUUGAUAUUCCUCAUGCUCAUUACAUUCAUGCAUUUUCCUUGCUUGAAUUUUUUCUCUUUUGGAUUCAUGGUGUAUUCUAUUGGAUGGAAUGCUUUUAACAUGAGUGUGCAUUCUUUGAUUCUUCACUCCUUUUGUUUGGUAGGUUUAUGGUUUGCGUUGCAAGGUAUGGAAAUGGUGAAGAAACUAUUCAAAUCUGGUACUACAUCUUGGCACAAAGAAAGAAGCUUGGUUUAGAAGAAAACUUCAUGUGUAGUUCACUAGGAAUAGUUUGUUUUUAAACUUGUAAUAACAUUUGGUGUUCUUGUAGAAAAAACAAAGAUCUCUUUUGUAUCUUAAAAUACCUCAUGCACUUAUGUAAUGCUUGAUACUUUAUACACAAACGAUUAUCAGAAAUUUAAAUGCAAUAUGAAUGAGCAAGUUCGAAUAU